CAAAUCGAUUUAACUGAAGGCCAACACCACAUAGUGGUGGUAGUAGUGCCCGGGACAUUCACAAAUGAACACUUUUCGGGCGGCCCUUUUC
ensembl:ncRNA AH10.8 ncRNA